rnacentral:rRNA from 1 species
AGUGCACGCUGGCGGCGUGCCUAAUAAAUGCAAGUCGAAGGUAGUGGCGCACGGGUGAGUAAUAUAUAGCUAAUCUGCCCCUUGCUGGAGGACAACAGUUAGAAAUGACUGCUAAUACUCCAUAGCAAGGGAUGAGACUAUAUCGUAUCAGCUAGUCGGUGGGGUAACGGCCUACCGAGGCUAUGACGCGUAACUGGUCUGAGAGGAUGAUCAGUCAAAUGUGACCUGAGACACGGUCCAGACUCCUACGGUAGGCAUCAGUAGGGAAUCUGGCGCAAUGGGGGAAACCCUGACGCAGCAACGCCGCGUGGAGGAUGACACUUUGCGGAGAGUAAACUCCUUUUGUUAGGGAAGCGGUACCUAACGAAUAAGCACCGGCUAACUCCGUGCCAGCAGCCGCGGUAAUUC